AUGACAAGCAGAAAUUGAUGAAAAAAGGACAAAUCGAAGCUCCGAUAAGCCGAUUUACCGAUGAGAGUCAGCACCUCUAUCAAAAGAAUCAUUUUUCCGUCCAAGAAUCGUUCAUCUCCACAAAAAGACGAACAAAAAACUAUCCGACCUUCAAAUCCAUGAGCUUCUUCAACAAAUCUAUCUUUAAGAUGGAGUACGAGGGAUCUCAAUGAGGCUGUUACUGUGAACGCAUGGUAACCAUUUGAUACUGAAAGUUGCAUUUUUUGUAAUCUAUCCAUGUGUGAUGAGCUUCUUCAACAAAUCGAGCUUUAAGAUGGCGUACGAGGGAUCGUAAUGAGCCUGUUACUGUGAACACAUGGUAACCAUUUGUUAUUGAAAGUUACAUUUUUUGUAAUUAUUGGAGUUGAAAUGAAAUGAUAUGCAUUUAGAAAACUUACUUCCAAAAUGAAAUACAAGGAGGCUAUAUAAACAGCAUACGGGAACGGACCACAAGUCCAGCUGGUGUAACUAACUCUAACUAAACUAACUUUCCAACUGAUUGACUAACCAACUAACUAAUUUAUAUACAGGUUUCAUAUCUAUAUUUGCGGCUCUAAUACUCGCCCUCAAGUUGUACUGUAAAUGUUUUUGACAGACAUCUUGGACAAUAAAGAACUAAGUGCAACAGCAUGAAGUGGUUUAGUGAAGAUAUCUGCGAGUUGGUGUCGUGAUUGGAUUGGAAGAAGCUUAACUAGGCCAGCUGCAAUUUUAUCUCGAAUGAAGUGGCAAUCAAUCUCGAUAUGUUUGGUUCUUUCGUGAAAGAUGGGAUUGGUGGCAAUUUGGAUCGCCCUUGAUUGUCACAGAACAGAACAGCUGGAGAUGCUUCAGGAAUCUGAAAAUCUUUUAACAAUUGAGUGAUCCAAAUGAUUUCACUAACGGUGGCAGCAAGUGCACGGUAUUCUGCCUCAGCUGAAGACCGUGAGACCGUGGAUUGUCUUUUGGCUUUCCAAGAGAUCAGUGAAUCUCCAGUGAAUAUGCAGAAACCAGUGGUAGACUUUCUUGUGUCAAGGCAAGCACCCCAAUCAGCAUCUAAAAAGGUAUGAAGUUUGAUGGGAAGAAAAUACCCUGACCAGGGCUGCUCUUCAAGUAACGAAGAAGGUGGUGUGCUGCUUUGAGAUGAGGUAAAUGAGGUUGAGCAAGAAACUGACUCAAUUUAUGUACAGCAUAGGUAAUGUCAGGUCUGGACAAUGUCAAGUAGAUUAACCUUCCAAUUAGUUGCCUGUACUGUGAAGAAUCUGGUAAUAAGUCUCUUUCAUGUAAGCUAAGGCAUGCCUUUGGAUCCAUGGGUGUAUUAAUCGGUUUGCAGUCUAAAUAACCGGCAUCUUCAAGUAAUUGUAAUGUGUAAUGCCUUUGAGAAAUGACCAUACCUAAUUUUGAACGAGCAAUCUCAAUACCUAAAAAAUACUUCAGACAGCCUAAAUCCUUAAGCUUGAAUUGAGAAUAUAAGAACUCUUUUAAAGAGUCAAUAACCUGUGAAUUGGGACCAGUAAUGACGAUGUCAUCGACAUAUACUAAUAGUGCCACAAAGCUAUUCCCAGAUCCUUUGGUAAAUAAAGAAUAGUCAGCUUUAGACUGUAUAAAUCCAUAUUGGAUGAGAACUUGUGAGGACUUUGAACUCCACUAGCGUGAUGCUUGUUUAAGUCCAUAUAUAGACUUGUGCAACUUGCAUACUAAUCUUUCUCCCUUGUUGACAGUGUUCUAAGUUUUAUAGCCAAGAGGAAGAUCCAUGUACACUUCCUCAAAUAAGUCUCCAUUCAAGAAUGCGUUAUUGACAUCUAGUUGGACCAAAUGCCAAUUAUUGUAAGCAGCAAGAGCAAGGAGCAGUUUAACAGUUACUAUCUUAGCCACAGGAGAUAAUGGUGUCGAAAUAGUCAAGACCCUCUUGUUGUGUGUAGCCUUUGGCAACAAGACGAGUUUGUGUCUUUCAAUUGAUCCAUCUGAAUUAUAUUUUAUAUUGUAAAUCCAUCAGCAACCUACAAAAUGCUUAUCCUUUGGUAAGGGAACUACAGACCAGGUAUGGUUGAGUUCCGUAGCCUCAAGUUCAAGCUCCAUAGCUUCACGCCACUGUGGAAAUUUAACUGCUUGAUGAUAGAAUUGUGGUUCAAUUUGAGAUGAGACACUUAAAGUGAAGUUGCGAUGACCUGGGGAUAACUUCGCAUAAGAGAUGAAGUGACUAAUGUUGUGAGGUGAUUGGGAAGGAUUGCUAGAAUUCGGUGAAACCAUGUUACAAUGAAAAUCUUUGAGAUAUUUUGGAGGAUUGCGAAUUCUCUGUGAUGUCCUAACAUUAUUUUGAAUAAGGAUGGAUUGAAUGGGUUGGAUGUCAUGAGAUGUGUCUUCUUGGGAUGAGGUAGGUCCAGUAACAUGUUCAAUGGAAUCAUUACUGGUAUAAUGCGGAAUGAAUCUGUGAGUUGAUUACCUUUAAUGACAGUGUAAAAGGGGAAUACAAUUUCAUGAAAAACAACAUCACGUGACAAGAAAACCUGCUUUGUAAUGAUAUCAUAGAGCUUAUAGCCUUUUACGCCGGGUGGGUAUCCCAGAAAAAUGCAUAUUCUAGCCCGAGGUUGGAACUUGUUUCUCUGUGCAGACAAUGUAGAAGCAAAUGCAAGACAUCCAAACACCCUAAGUGAAGAAUGAUCAACUGAUUUAGUGUGCAGUAUUUCAUAGGGAGUUUUGUGCUUCAAGAGAGGAGAUGGAGUUCUGUUGAUUAGGAAAGUAGUUGUUAAUACACAUUCAGACCAGAAUUCGAUUGGGACUCUGGACUGAAAAUACAAGGCUCUUGCAACAUUCAAUAGGUGCUGGUGUUUUCGUUCCACAACCAAGUUUUGUUGUGGCCUUUCUACACAGCUGAAUUGGUGCAAAGUCCCCUUUUCAGCAUGUAAUGUGUAAUGCCUUUGAGAAAUGACCAUACCUAAUUUUGAACGAGCAAUCUCAAUACCUAAAAAAUACUUCAGACAGCCUAAAUCCUUCAGCUUGAAUUGAGAAUAUAAGAACUCUUUUAAAGAGUCAAUAACAUGUGAAUUGGGACCAGUAAUGACGAUGUCAUCGACAUAUACUAUUAGUGCCACAAAGUUAUUCCCAGAUCCUUUGAUAAAUAAAGAAUAGUCAGCUUUAGACUGUAUAAAUCCAUAUUGGAUGAGAACUUGUGAGAACUUUGAACUCCACUGGCGUGAUGCUUGUUUAAGUCCAUAUAUAGACUUGUGCAACUUGCAUACUAAUCUUUCUCCCUUGUUGACAAUUUCUGAGUUUUAUAGCCAAGAGGAAGAUCCAUGUACACUUUCUCAAAUAAGUCUCCAUUCAAGAAUGCGUUAUUGACAUCUAGUUG
rnacentral:lncRNA from 1 species